GGUGAAGGUUUCACUCUGGAGUCCUCGGGCUGGAGAUGGGCUUGGCUCCCUAUGACCUCCUUUGCCUGGAGCACAGUGACUAACUCAGAAGAACCACUGUUGACGGGAUGUGAGGCAUCAAAUGUACAUAACGAGGCAGGAUGAUGUGCAGGGGCACGAGUCAUUCUCAGACUCAGGAGACAUCCCUGCCUUUGGACACAGAUGAGCUAGAGAUCACCCAUCCCCCACUGCCUGGAUGCUCUGCAUGGAGGAGGCCCUGUGAUUUAGUCCUGUAAUGGCAGUGUACACGGAUCACCUGGUGAUACUGCUGCUGAGGAUGCCCUGGCCCUUUCCGCAGCUGGACCUUGGUUCCCAGAAUGGAGAGAGCUCCGAUGUUUACAACAUUUACAUUUUAAUUAAAAUCCUUUUUGGAUUCUCUG